GCCUGAGUGGCUCAGUGGUUGAGCGCCUGCCUUUGGCCCAGGGCAUGAUCCUAGAGUCCUGGGAUCGACUCCCACGUCGGGCU
rnacentral:tRNA from 1 species